rnacentral:rRNA from 1 species
AUUGCAGGCUGCAACCCGCCUGCAUGAAGUCGGAAUCGCUAGUAAUCGCAAGUCAGCAUAUUGCGGUGAAUACGUUCCCGGGUCUUGUACACACCGCCCGUCACACCAUGGGAGUUGGCAACACCCGAAGUCGAUGAGCUAACCUUUUAGGAGGCAGUCGCCUAAGGUGGGGUUGAUAACUGGGGUGAAGUCGUAACAAGGUAUC